CCCCGGCCCCAGACCAAAUCAGGAAGCCCAGCAACAAGCCGCCACCGCCACCGCCCCCGGGGCGGGCAGGAGUGAGGCAGCCCAGCAACUCCAACAGUGACAGAUGCUACCAGGCCAGUUCUGGUCCACACGCUUCCACACACAUCACUACCAACAUUCCCAGGGAAGCUGGUGCCAGAUCAAGCCCAUACGGAGCGUGGGGCGGCCCGUGACGCUCCCCGCCCGUGCUCCGCACUCAGCUCGGCGAGCCACAGAACUUGCACUGACCAUGAGUAGGUCACCUUCUGGAAUUUGCCAAGGACUAAGUAUCAACUUCCAGAAAUAAAAUUUGAAGU